rnacentral:piRNA from 1 species
UGUCAGUUGCAGCCUUGUUAUUGUGGCC